AAAAAAUGACAAGAAAUAGUGUGGCUACUUUAAAAUUGAUUUUUAAACGCGCAGAUGGCUAAACAACUAUCUCGCUAAAAGUCAUUGCUUUUGUAUGACAAACAGUAGCACAUCCAAAAGUCAAAAUAUAUGUUAGUGCUCAAUUUCUGAAGACUAAAAUUUUUACCAAUCACGAAGUUGAGUCUAACAUCACACCGUAGAAUGUAGUAAUUUUUGGUAAAAUUUAUGUAAAUAACAUAUAGAUAUAUUCAAUAUAGGCCAUCGGCAGCCAUAUUUUAUUGCAUGCGAAAUAAAUAAAAAAAUUCAACACAGCUUUCCUUUCAGCGUUGUGAAAAUGAACAUGUUAUUGCCAUUCACUUAAAAUCAAUGAAAAGCACAAAAAAAUUGUAAUUAUAAAUUCUAAAUGAAUGGAAAGAACGUUUUACUUGGCACUUCGCCUAGAAACUGGAAUAGAGGAAUCGCGUUUCUGCUGAUUACAUAUGCAUUGUGUGUAUUCUGACCAUUGAAAUGCAAGCAUCGAUUGGAGAAGCAAAAAUAAGCAAAAUUUCGACGUUCGUUGAUGUCAUGAUCAGCACAAAAUAGCCGCUUCACUUGUGCCUCAAACUACUGUAUACAUAAAUAACAUUUUCAGAAAAAAAUCUCUCCAUGGAUAUUCCAAUUGUAACCGUUGUUAACACAAUUAAAUUCUUCAAAAUCAACAAAAACAUACUGUGGAAGACAAAAAUGAGGACUUGUGCUGAUAAACUCUACAAGUGACGUGUUAAGAAAGCGGAAACGGGCAAGAGCGUAGUAACUGAAAUCUGCCAAAAAUAACGUUCAAUUCUCUAUUAAUCGUCGAAGAAAAGUAACUUCAUAUAAGUUCAGAAUGCAAGAGGAACAUUUUCAGAAAAAUUGAAAUUAUUAAUCGAUAUUCUGAUCGUGUCAACAACG